rnacentral:rRNA from 1 species
GAUGAACGCUGGCGGCGUGCCUAAUACAUGCAAGUCGAGCGAACAGAUAAGGAGCUUGCUCCUUUGACGUUAGCGGCGGACGGGUGAGUAACACGUGGGUAACCUACCUAUAAGACUGGAAUAACUCCGGGAAACCGGGGCUAAUGCCGGAUAACAUUUAGAACCGCAUGGUUCUAAAGUGAAAGAUGGUUUUGCUAUCACUUAUAGAUGGACCCGCGCCGUAUUAGCUAGUUGGUAAGGUAACGGCUUACCAAGGCAACGAUACGUAGCCGACCUGAGAGGGUGAUCGGCCACACUGGAACUGAGACACGGUCCAGACUCCUACGGGAGGCAGCAGUAGGGAAUCUUCCGCAAUGGGCGAAAGCCUGACGGAGCAACGCCGCGUGAGUGAUGAAGGUCUUCGGAUCGUAAACUCUGUUAUUAGGGAAGAACAAAUGUGUAAGUAACUGUGCACGUCUUGACGGUACCUAAUCAGAAAGCCACGGCUAACUACGUG